ensembl:lncRNA
ACACUGUAUCAACGAAGCACGUUCUCCAGGGACCGCAAAGGAAAAUCUCACCAAAUUUCCAGAAAGCCCCGAAGACUCAUGGACCUUUAAUGGGAAAUGAAAUUUUGCCACCUGUAAGACCUUCUGUAAUGUAAAACAAGCCUUUGCGAGAGGGAUGGAUCACGGUAUUUUUCUGUUCGGGCCAAAGAGUAAUGUACUACCUUAAUAUGCUUAAAGAAACAUUUACACGUGAGUCAUUGUGCAUCUGCGUGUUUAUGAAAAUCGCCCAGUUUUGGGAGCUACAGCUGUUUCGUACCCAUUUUGAAUCACCAACACUGGAAACAAAUGGGAUUUUUUUCAGUCUUUUUCCUUAGCACAUUCUGUGUGCUUCCUGUCAUUCUUCCACAGGAAACUAGUGGAACAACGUCAGAGGCAGCAGCAGCCCAUCCCAGCCCCCCCAGUCAAAGCGCUCUGGCUAAGGCCGGGCAUCCACUUGGCACUCCCAGAUCAGGACCUCACGUCACAGUCGGACACUCAGACAAAGCCCAAAGUCACCCCAGCGUGUCAUCCGACACACACAGGGUAAAAACCCUGAUAGAUCUGCCGCCGGCACCCUCGCAAUCCCAUAGGACCAUAUUACCUCAACUACAACCUCGAGCAUCCUGGAUUUGAAGAUGGAUCGACUUCUGUGUUGCUCUCUGCUGCUCCUGAGUGGACUUCUAUACGAGGCCUCGGCAGAACAAAUGUAUGAUUCUACAUCAAAGGCAAACAAGGAAGCUGUCAGGUCUACCACAGACAUCAUGCUCACAUCCACCCCAAGAACUACAGCAAAAAGAGGGAAUGACAAUAAAGAAACUCCUAUAACCUUCUCCACCAGCAUGACAAGCAGCCCAACACAACGUACUGCAGGUAGCGUUCCUACAACUGCUUUCCACCAUUCGACAUCCUCUACCAAGGACAUCAGGAGCACAGCAACCACACCAGGAAAUAUCAGGGAUACAAAACCAACAUCACGAUGGACCAUAUCUACCAGUAGCAGGAGCAGUCAUCAGGCGACAACAUCUACCUCGAAAGCCACCACGUCUAGACCAGUGCUGACGGCGGUCACAGCUAAGUCCACAGCAUCAGUGACCUCACGUGGUACGACGUCUGGAACCGAGGGAGCGGCCACAACCUCUCCAGCACCGGGAAAGAGCUUGGUCAUGCUCGCAUUUGGGGUGAUGAGUUUCAUCCUCAUUCUCAUCGUCGUCAUGGUGGUUUUGGUGACGGCCGUGAACCUAAGAGGCCGAUGUAGCAGCGCUAAGGAAGACGGGAAAAAAAGUUGUGAUUCCAUAGUGUUGGAAAGCAACGUGACCAGUGGAGAGAAGGAAAGCAUCACCUUGGUGUCUAUGAAAACAAUCAACACUGACACAGAUACAGACUCACCUCAGAUCUCCUCCAUCCACAGCACCACACUGGACAAUGAAGACCAAGAACUGGGAAAGGAGCUACUGAACGUGAAGGUAGAUCCAUGA